CCUACGGGAGGCAGCAGUCGAGAAUCAUUCACAAUGGGGGAAACCCUGAUGGUGCGACGCCGCGUGGGGGAAUGAAGGUCUUCGGAUUGUAAACCCCUGUCAUGUGGGAGCAAAUUAAAAAGAUCGUACCACAAGAGGAAGAGACGGCUAACUCUGUGCCAGCAGCCGCGGUAAUACAGAGGUCUCAAGCGUUGUUCGGAAUCACUGGGCGUAACGCGUGCGUAGGCUGUUUCGUAAGUCGUGUGUGAAAGGCGCGGGCUCAACCCGCGGACGGCACAUGAUACUGCGAGACUAGAGUAAUGGAGGGGGAACCGGAAUUCUCGGUGUAGCAGUGAAAUGCGUAGAUAUCGAGAGGAACACUCGUGGCGAAGGCGGGUUCCUGGACAUUAACUGACGCUGAGGCACGAAGGCCAGGGGAGCGAAAGGGAUUAGAUACCCGGGUAGUC
rnacentral:rRNA from 1 species